rnacentral:rRNA from 1 species
UUAAUACCGGAUAGAUCAAAGAUACUGGAAUGUUCUUUGGUUGAAAGCUCCGGCGCCCAAGGAUGGGUCUGCGGCCUAUCAGGUAGUAGUGGGUGUAACGUACCUACUAGCCUACGACGGGUAAGGGUUGUGAGAGCAAGAGCCCUGAGAUGGAUUCUGAGACAUGAAUCCAGGCCCUACGGGGUGCAGCAGGCGCGAAAACUUUACACUGCGGGAAACCGCGAUAAGGGGACCCCGAGUGCCAGCACCUAGUGCUGGCUGUCCAGCUGUUCAAAAAACAGUUGUUAGCAAGGGCCGGGCAAGACCGGUGCCAGCCGCCGCGGUAACACCGGCGGCCCGAGUGGUAGCCGUUAUUAUUGGGUUUAAAGGGUCCGUAGCCGGCCUAUUAAGUCUCUUGGGAAAUCUGGCGACUCAAUCGUCAGGCGUUCA